AUGAAGAGUUUGAUCCUGGCUCAGGAUGAACGCUAGCGGCAGGCCUAAUACAUGCAAGUCGAACGGUAGAUUCUACUUCGGUGGAAUUGAGAGUGGCGCACGGGUGCGUAACGCGUAUGCAACCUACCCUUAACUGGGGGAUAGCCCGGAGAAAUUCGGAUUAAUACCCCAUAGUAUUCCAAGAUGGCAUCUGAAAGGAAUUAAAGAUUUAUUGGUUAAGGAUGGGCAUGCGUGACAUUAGCUAGUUGGUAAGGUAAUGGCUUACCAAGGCAACGAUGUCUAGGGGUUCUGAGAGGAUGAUCCCCCACACUGGUACUGAGAUACGGACCAGACUCCUACGGGAGGCAGCAGUAGGGAAUAUUGGUCAAUGGGCGAGAGCCUGAACCA
rnacentral:rRNA from 1 species